GUUGUGUAGAAGAUGAGGUCUGUGGGUAGUUUGUGGAGAGAAGUAGGAAUGUUUUAUUGUAGGUGGGAAAAGGGCUGGUGCUUGUGUUCAUCUUUCGUGUCAGUCAUUUAAGCCCCCUGACAAUCAGGGGGAAGGUAGGAGAGUUUUUAGAGUAAUAGGAUGCUCGUGUCAAUUGUGUAUCUACCAUUGUUUGGAGCCUUGUGUGAUGAGCAAGCACUGGCAAUACAGGGGGUUUCAGAAGAUUUACAAGGACAGCAGAUUCUUGAUUCAGCAUAUGGCAAUGUCAGCUAAAAGACACUCUUGCUUUUUUACAUGCUCACACAACUUGAGACUGCAUCACUCAUGGAUAUAAGCUUUUCUUGCUCUGAAAUAUGGUCCUUGAUGAUGAUAAGGCAGCAUUUUGGUGGGACAACAAAAAGAACUUUCACUGAUGAUUCCUAAUUCUAUCUGUUCCACUGUGGGUGUUAUGUUGAAGAUAUGCCUGACUGGAAGGACCUUCACUGUUUUGGCCCUGCAAGUCUUUUAACCAACUGAUGUGAUUUCCUCUAGAUAUUUUUAAGGACAGUACUGACACCAAUAUGUGGGACAUCUGCUAUCCAUAUGUUCACAUGGCCACCAGACCUGCAGUAAGGCUCCAAAGAAUGCUGGCCUAGUGGUUAAUUAAUUAACGAAAUAAGGGUCCCUCGCACUGCUCUUUCAUAUCCUUCCAGUGUACAUGCUAACCGAUUAAACUUCGUGCCCCAUCAGGGUACAAUAUCCUUGAACAGGCCACAUCUCAGCUGUCUGCACUCUUGUAUCUCCUGCAGAUUGUAUUUGAUCACAGGUCUUAGGGCAUGUAGAGGAUUUUCCUACAUGGCUUCUUGCCAGACCCAUCUUUGAUACCAUCAAUUCAGAUUAUUUUCCAGUCAGUAUUCUAGUUUCAAUUUUGCUAUUUUGUCAAAUAACAUUUUUUGUAGUAAUACUACCCACACUAGAAAAUUAUUUUUCUGUUUCAAAGAUGAUUUAAAUUACAGAAGACUCCUGUAAUGACAUCUGUAUUUUUUGUCCCUUGAUUCUUACUCAGAGGCUUUCAACUGUGACAUUGCCAAUUGUAAACCUCAUAUAUUUGAACCCUUCUAUUGCACAUAAUGGCAACCCCCAGCCUCUUCUGCCCUACCUGUCCCUCCUGAAGAGCCUGUAACAUCCAUCAGGGCACUCCAGGAUUCAUCCCACCAGUUUUCACUUUUGUCAAUGAUCUUGAAUCUCUGGGACUUUGCCAAAGCCAGGGGCUGUCUUUGUUCCUUAUGUGCCUCAGUAUAGAAAGAUUCUGGGUGGGGUACAUUGUAGCUAACACCUCCUAAGCAUAUUGAGGAAUUCCAUUAGUGUGUGUUUUUAGCACACCGUCCCAUCUGUCAUCACUGGCCAGCCUGGCUUUGGCUCUUUCUCGUUUCCAAGCUAGUUUAAAGCUCAGGUGUCAGUAGAGAAACUGUUUGAGUACAUUAUCCCCAGACCAUUGUCAACAACCCCCAGAUUUUUCCACUAUACCAACCUCAGAGCCAUGCAUCAACCUGAUAGAUCUCCCUAUUCCUAGAAAUAUUAUUCCUUGUUACCAGAACAAUCAAGGAAAUCACCUGUGUUCCUGAUCCCUGUACCAAUUGUCCCAAGGCUCUGAAGUCUCUUUUGUUUGCCCUCAGUUUUUGUUAUUUCAUCCAUGUCAGUUUGAACAACCAAUAAUGGCUAGUAAUCAGAGGGCCUCGCUAGGCUGGGGAGUUUUAAAGUAAUGUUCCUUGUCUGAGCCCUUGGGAGACUGCAGACUUCCCUGAGUUGGGUCUGGUCUGCAUACGGGGGCCUCUGCUUCCCUCAGGAAGCAGGUUCCUAUUACAAUUCCUCAUCUUUUCCUCUGGACUCCCUAAGUGCUAAUGUCUGUAUGAAUUUGAACUCAUGCUGUGCAUGAGAUCUGUGGGUGCCAAAACAGAUAUUAUUAUAGAUGUAUGCAUGCAAAUUUCAAUUCUUUUUUCCAUUCAUCCUUCUCUUCCCUGCCCCCCGCCCCCCAAUUAUUCUUCUAAAUUAUGUGAUUAUGUGCCUUUAAGACUGCCAAUUGCUCAGAUGAAGUAAAACUGCUAAACUAUCUUCAUGCUUUCAAAGUAGUUUUAAUGGACAUGUGAAAAUCCUUCUACGUUUUAAGUAGAGAAAUUACAGCUGUCUUGUGGCACUAGUAAGUUUUGUAACUUCCUUUCACAAUCUGUAUGAAUCUUUUGUAACAAAUAAAUAUAUGUAUUUCCUGUAAA